GACGAACGCUGGCGGCGUGCCUAAUACAUGCAAGUCGAACGCACAGUUUAUACCGUAGCUUGCUACACCAUAAACUGUGAGUUGCGAACGGGUGAGUAACGCGUAGGUAACCUGCCUGGUAGCGGGGGAUAACUAUAGGAAACGAUAGCUAAUACCGCAUAAUAUUGAUUAUUGCAUGAUAAUUGAUUGAAAGAUGCUAUUGCAUCACUACCAGAUGGACCUGCGGUGUAUUAGCUAGUAGGCGAGGUAACGGCUCACCUAGGCGACGAUACAUAGCCGAGCUUGAGAGGUGAACGACCACACUUGGACUGAGACACGGCCCAAGCUCCUACCGGAGGCAGCAGGAGGGAAACUUCGGCAAUUGGCGGAAGGCUUACCGAGCAACGCCGCGGGAGUGGAGAAGGGUUUCGGAUCUUAAAACUCUGUUUUUAGAGAAGAACGGGUGUGAGGUUAGAAAGUUCACGCUGUGACGGUAUCUUACCAGAAAGGGACGGCUAACUACGUG
rnacentral:rRNA from 1 species